rnacentral:lncRNA from 1 species
AAUUACCUUUACAUGUCAUUUCAUUGGUUGGUUUGCUGUAAGGUUUCUGUCCCAUAGAUGUUAACCUACUUUCCUAAAUUUUUACACAUGAUAAACAAAUGGGUUUCAUUUGUUGGUAAUGCAAAACAGUGCUAAGACUCAUAUCUUAACUACAAUAAAAUACUUCAAUAUUUAUUGGGACCAUCAGGGCUAGUAACUUUUUUUCCGGACAAGUGAACUUUACAGUUUUACUUGCCAAGGGACAAGUGCCCACAUCAAAUAUUUCCACACCCCUGU